CCCGGCGCUAGCGCGGAGGCGGUGCCGGGCGCGGCGCAGAGCGGAGGAUGCUGCGGGCGGGGGCCGCCGCCGCCAGCCCCGGUCCCGGUGCCGGUGCCGGUCCCGGGCGGGAGGGCACCCCGCCGCAUCUCGCCCGCUGAGCCUCGGCCCGGCCAUGGGGGCUCUGACCAGCCGGCAAAACGCAGGGGUGGAGGAAGUGGAUAUCCCCGCUAAUUCCGUCUACAGAUACCCCCCGAAAUCCGGGAGCUACUUUGCCAACCACUUCAUCAUGGGCGGCGAGAAGUUUGACUCCACGCACCCCGAGGGUUACCUCUUCGGCGAGAACAGCGACCUCAACUUCCUGGGGAACCGGCCUGUGGUGCUGCAACAGGAGAUUCUGCAGUUCCCUUACGCUGCUCCACCUCCUCAGGAACCCGUGAAGACCCUCAGGAGCUUAAUCAACAUCCGCAAGGACACCCUGCGCCUUGUCAAGUGCUCGGAGGAGGUGAAGACCCCAGGGGAAGAAGUCAGCAAAGCCAAGGUGCACUACAACGUGGAGUUCACCUUCGACACGGAUGCCCGUGUAGCCAUAACCAUCUACUACCAGGCGAGCGAGGAGUUUCACAACGGGGUGGCGAGCUACAUCCCCAGGGACAACAGCCUGCAGUCGGAGACGGUGCACUACAAGCGGGGGGUGUGCCAGCAGUUCUGCGUGCCCUCCCACACCGUCGACCCCUCUGAGUGGAGCGAGGAAGAGCUGGGCUUCGACCUGGACCGAGAGGUGUACCCCAUGGUGGUGCACGCGGUGGUGGAUGAAGGAGAGGAGCACACCGGGCACUGCCACGUGCUGCUGGCCACCUUUGAGAAGCACAGCGACGGCACCUUCUGCGUGAAGCCCCUCAAGCAAAAGCAAGUGGUGGACGGUGUGAGCUACUUGCUGCAGGAGAUCUACGGCAUCGAGAACAAGUACAACACGCAGGACUCCAAGGUGGCUGAGGACGAGGUGAGCGAUAACAGCGCCGAGUGUGUCGUCUGCCUCUCGGAUGUCCGGGACACCCUCAUCCUGCCCUGCCGCCACCUCUGCCUCUGCAACACCUGCGCCGACACCCUGCGCUACCAGGCCAACAACUGCCCCAUCUGCAGGCUGCCUUUCCGGGCCUUGCUUCAAAUCCGAGCCAUGAGGAAAAAGCUGGGUCCCCUCUCGCCCACCAGCUUCAACCCCAUCAUCGCCUCGCAGACCUCUGACUCCGAGGAGCACUCGUCCUCAGAGAACAUCCCCCCGGGCUACGAGGUGGUGUCUCUGCUGGAGGCUCUCAACGGGCCGCUGACGCCGUCGCCGGCCGCCCUGCCGCUGCGCGGGCUGGGGGACCCCCCGGGCGCGGGGACCCUGCCCUCCUACGGCAGCGACGGCCCCCUGCCCGCCCUGCGGGCCCUCUCGCCCCUCGAGCGCCUCCCCGACUGCGGCCCCCCGGGGCUGAAGCUGAAGAAAAGCCUCUCCAAGUCCAUCUCGCAGAAUUCCUCCAUCCUGCCUGAAGAGGAGGACGAGAAGUCGUGCACCGAAUCGGAGCUGAGGGUCUCCAGGAAGAGAUCCCCUGCCCGGUGUGAGGAGGAAUGCGGCGCGACGCCGGAGAGCGAAAACCUGACCCUGUCGUCGUCAGGAGCCAUCGAUCAGUCCUCGUGCACCGGGACCCCCCUCUCCUCCACCAUCUCGUCCCCGGAAGCUGGUGCUGUGCUGCCACUCCCACCAGUGGGCCGGGGGGGUCCAUUGGCUCCGCUCAGCCCCUGCUCUCCCCCAGAGCCCGUCAGCAGCAGCCUGGCUCAGUCCGUCAUGUCCAUGGCCUCCUCCCAGAGCCAGCACUCCCAGCUCAGCACCGACACCGUGUCCUCCAUGUCUGGCUCCUACGUCGCUCCCGGCACGGAGGAGGAGGAGGAGGAGGAGGGGGACAUGAUCCCCUCACCCGUGGCCGCCAGCGCCACAGCCUCUGAUGGAGAGUCAACACCUGUGGAGUCCCUGGAUAUAAACUUCGUCAGCAUCUCUGCCGAGGAGCGUGAUGCCGAGGGCAACGACAUGCUGGAGGAUGAGGACACCUCUCCCACGCAGGAAGACGGCCCGAGGACAGGCGCUUUCCUCGGUCUGAGGUGUGACAAUAACAAUGACUUGGGCAUCGCACACGUGAAAGCGCUGGACAAUAAACUGUGCUCUGAGGCCUGCUUACCUGGCUCCUCCGUCCGCGUGAAAGUUCAUGUUCGCUCUGUGCCAACACGGUUUUCUCAACCCACGCUUGUGUCCCCUCCCUGCCCAGAGCUGCCCAAAGGUGACAAAUGUAUUGGUGACCCCCGGUCCCAAGGGCCAAGGGGGGAGCUGGCUGGGGACCCUGCCCAGUGCUGCCAGCUCCUCUUCAUCUGCCCGUGUUGGGGAGAAACAGGGCAAAAAGCCACGAUGAAUCCCUCUGAGGGUCCAGGUCUGCAUCAAUACAUUUGUGAACAAGCUGAAAGCAACUCUGCCCCUGUCUUGGCCCUUUGGCUAAAUUUGUGGCAGGUCCCAGACCCGCAGCGGGUGCUGGAGAGCCAAGAGGGUGGGUGAAACCCACCAGUGGGAGGGGAAAUCCUUUCUUCCCCCUUCCUCCUCCAGGAAAGCUUCCCCUCCUGCUGCCUUGCCUGUUCCUGGUGGUUUCUGCACUGCAGAAACACGGCUGAGGCUCUUGGGGAGGAACAGGCGCCUGCCACAAAUGCCCCGUGUCCCCUCCAUCACCCUCCGGCAGCAGCUGACAGCCCCACCAGCCCGGAGGGACUGGGGAAGGGGCUGGGGGGUCCCAGCAAUGCCUCUGCCUUUGCUGGGGGUCCCAGCAAAGCAUCCCCCGGCUGCGGCACCAGCCAAAGCUGUCCCUGACUGCAUCCCCCUUGGUUGUGCCAGGGCGAGGAUGAGGAAGGGAGAGCUUUGCAGCCCAAACGGCCCUGCCAUGGGGUCAAAUUCUUGCUGUGCUGUGAGGACUGCAACGGCCUCAUCCCCUGCCUAGGCUGGGGUGCAGAAUCUGGCCCCUGGGCCGAGCCCAGCCGAGGAUGCUCUCUCCAUCCUUUGGCCACCACAUCUGUCCGUGUGUCCGGCAGCUGCACUGCUGGGAGCCACGCUGCCGCCCGCAUGAGAGGGGGCGAUCCGGCCUCGGCAUUUGCUGGGAAGAGCAGGGGGCUGCCGCUUGCACGGGGGGCAGAGGAGGUGCAGAGUGGGGGCUUUGGGGCUGCCCGUGGUCCCCUGGGGAUGGCAGAGGGACCAGAGGAAAUAACUCUGGGGAUGCAGAGCUCUGCCCUAAAGGGGUUGGAGGAAGAUUGUCCUGGGGUGUCCUAGGGUGCUGGGAAGAGCCUGAGGGGCCAGGGGGGUGAAGGCCAGUUGGUCGUUUUGUGGUUGCAGUUGGUGUUUUGCAACAUUGGUUUUAUUCAUGAGACUCAGGGCAGCUCUUUCCUUCCCCAGCCCUGUCUGCUCCCCAUCAGCAUCCACCCGCUAUCCGGACUCGGCCGCUUUGCGACAGAGUCGAUUUGAGGCACGAUUUGAUACUGGUGGUGCUGGACUGCAAUCGCAGGGCUGGUUUGCAUGCACUGAAAAAGUCCUUUUUGGCAAAGGUUUCUUGCAGAUCUGGGUGUAACCACAUCCACGGGGCCGGCAAGAACAGGGUGGACUUUUACUUAAGGGUCAGGUGCAGUUUUCUUGAAAGCUAAAAGAAAAUCACCUUGACCAGAGAUUAUAUUAUUACUAUUCCUCCCCCAAUUUCUCUUGUGGGGAGGUUUUGCCAUGGUCAGAUCCAUGGGUUGGUUUCUGCCCUCUCUGUAAUGGAUGAAGGCAUGGGACGUGGUUCCUCAAAGUGGAAAGGUUUGCUCAUCCCCAGCGUUGUUGUGAAAUCUCUGCAGAUUUCAAUCUGGUGGGAAAGGGCUUUGGGAGGAGUUGAAAGGCCACAUCCCAGGGAUUUUAGGACAGGAGGUUUAAAGAAAAUCCGCAGACCCGUGUCCUCAAGGGGAUCUGGCCAAGCCCUGGGGUGUGCAGUGGGUUGCAGGGGCUGUUCCCGGGGCUCAGAGCACCCUCUGGCCGUGGCCACAUCCUCUGUCAAGGACAGAGUGGCAUUGGAAAGAGAAAUUAGGGAAAGGCGCCUGCUGAAAAGGCUGGCAGCAAGGCAGGGAGGCCUGGGGAGCGGAGGCAGCAGAAGACCUGAAAUCCCCCGAGGGUUUUUGCUGGUUUAAACCCGCGGAUGAUCCGAGCUGUAAGCGAUAUCGCAGUGGGCUGGGUGAGCCGGUUGGGUUUCGCUGCGAUGCUCUUUGGGAGCUGGUCUGCACAGGGCAGGUCUGAGGGCUGCUAACGGAGGGGGGGAGCCCCCCUCCUGCACCCAAGGGGAGAAGAAGGGGGUGGGCACAGGGCUGGGUCCCUGCUGCAGGGCCAGACUGUGCCCUGCUGCCCCCAGCCCCACUCCUCGGCAGCCUCCCAAAGGUGUGCUGAGCUGAGCUGGGUCUCUGCACCGGCACGCUGCAGUGACUUAUGCAAUAUAGAGCUCUUAAUGGGAUUUUGGAGUGUGUGUGUAUACGGGCAUGUGUAUGUGUGGUCCUGGUUAAUUCUCCGUUCCCUCUGGGAUCUGCAGACUUAACGUGCCUUGCUCUCCAGCCUGAGCUUGCCAUGAAAAGCCAGUCAAAACGGCAGCUGUCACCUCCCAUAAAUCAGCAGGCAGCGGGUUUUUGUUGCUCCCUCUUUAAAGAAGCCUCAGUACUUGCCCUUGGCCUUGGAAUGCCCUUGCAGGGCCCCCCAGGCUCAGAGCUGCCCCCCACACCUGGGCACAGGGCUUAACCUCGCUGGUGGGAGCAGCCGCCUUGCUUUAGGGGUGCACCCCCUUCCUAAGGGCACCACGGAGCCUCUGAUGGUUUGGGUGGCGGGACACAAGCCGCAGGCAGGCAGGUCCCAAGCUCUGCCCAUCGCGCUGCCUGAAGCUGGAGAGGAGGCGUGGGGGGCCCCGGCUCCCCCCACGCCACAAGCAUGCCCACCCCUCGGUUUUCCUCGCCACAAAACUCCGGGGCGGGGGGGGGGAGAAGGGCACCACGCAUGACGGCCCCCUCGCUCUGUGCCCACCGGCGGCUCCCUGUCCUCAUCCCAGACCCGUUUGCAGGCGGCGAGCCCCCCGGCCCCCCGCGGUCGCCCCGUUUGCUCGCUCGCGUGCAUGCCCCCGCGCCGCCUCCGCUCCCACCUUCACCAUGUGCCUUCUGGUCUCUCCUGCCACGCAGCCGCCAGGCCGGACUCCUGCCCCAUUAACAUUGAGGAAUAGGCACAGAGGCAGCCAACAACAAUGUGUGGCUGCGGCCGGCGCCCUGGCCCCGCCGCCCCCCCGGCACCCGAGACCUGGAGCAGG